GGGCCCAUAGCUCAGUUGGUCAGAGCGGGGGACUCAUAAUGCGUAGGUCCCUGGUUCGAGUCCUGGUGGGCCCA
rnacentral:tRNA from 1 species